AUGCUUCACCGCUCUAUCUCCCUCCUCACAAAACCUCACCAACCCAAACUCCAUCCUCAAACUCUCCAUCCUCGCCUCCGUCGACGAGCUCACCAAACUCACUUCAUCGCUAAAAGACAAUUCCGACAACCAGGCGCUCGACGAUUGCAAGGAACUAAUAGACGACGCGAUAUUCAGACGUGGGUUAGUGCCGCGUUGACGGAUCAACAAACGUGCGUUGAUGGGUUAGAAGAAGUUGGGAUUUCUUUGGAGACUGUUGAAAAGGUAAAGAAAAUGAUGCAGAAAUCAAAUGAGUAUACCAGCAAUAGUUUGGCUAUUGUGGCUAGUAUAAACAAUUUGUUACCAAUUCAUUGA
rnacentral:lncRNA from 1 species